rnacentral:tRNA from 1 species
AGUCUUAUAGUCAUAAAAUGAUAUUAAAUUGCAAAUUUAAAGGAGAUUAAAAAUUUAAGGCUU